rnacentral:rRNA from 1 species
GUGGGGAAUAUUGGACAAUGGGCGAAAGCCUGAUCCAGCCAUGCCGCGUGUGUGAAGAAGGUCUUCGGAUUGUAAAGCACUUUAAGUUGGGAGGAAGGGCAGUAAGUUAAUACCUUGCUGUUUUGACGUUACCGACAGAAUAAGCACCGGCUAACUUCGUGCCAGCAGCCGCGUUAAUACGAAGGGUGCAAGCGUUAAUCGGAAUUACUGGGCGUAAAGCGCGCGUAGGUGGUUUUGUAAGUUGGAGGUGAAAUCCCCGGGCUCAACCUGGGAACUGCCUCCAAAACUGCAUGACUAGAGUACGGUAGAGGGUAGUGGAAUUUCCUGUGUAGCGGUGAAAUGCGUAGAUAUAGGAAGGAACACCAGUGGCGAAGGCGACUACCUGGACUGAUACUGACACUGAGGUGCGAAAGCGUGGGGAGCAAACAGGAUUAGAAACCCUGGUAGUCC